rnacentral:rRNA from 1 species
CUACGGGAGGCAGCAGUGAGGAAUAUUGGUCAAUGGGCGUAAGCCUGAACCAGCCAAGUAGCGUGAAGGAUGACUGCCCUCUGGGUUGUAAACUUCUUUUAUAGGGGAAUAAAGUGCAUCACGUGUGGUGUUUUGUAUGUACCCUACGAAUAAGGACCGGCUAACUCCGUGCCAGCAGCCGCGGUAAUACGGAGGGUCCGAGCGUUAUCCGGAUUUAUUGGGUUUAAAGGGUGCGCAGGCGGGAUGUUAAGUCAGUUGUGAAAGUUGGACGCUCAACGUUCAAAUUGCAAUUGAAACUGGCAUUCUUGAGUGCAGUGGAGGUAAGCGGAAUUCGUGGUGUAGCGGUGAAAUGCUUAGAUAUCACGAAGAACUCCGAUUGCGAAGGCAGCUUGCUAUACUGCAACUGACGCUCAUGCACGAAGGUGUGGGUAUCAAACAGGAUUAGAUACCCGAGUAGUC